rnacentral:rRNA from 1 species
UAGGGAAUCUUCCGCAAUGGGCGAAAGCCUGACGGAGCAACGCCGCGUGAGUGAUGAAGGUCUUCGGAUCGUAAAACUCUGUUAUUAGGGAAGAACAAAUGUGUAAGUAACUAUGCACGUCUUGACGGUACCUAAUCAGAAAGCCACGGCUAACUAUGUGCCAGCAGCCGCGGUAAUACGUAGGUGGCAAGCGUUAUCCGGAAUUAUUGGGCGUAAAGCGCGCGUAGGCGGUUUUUUAAGUCUGAUGUGAAAGCCCACGGCUCAACCGUGGAGGGUCAUUGGAAACUGGAAAACUUGAGUGCAGAAGAGGAAAGUGGAAUUCCAUGUGUAGCGGUGAAAUGCGCAGAGAUAUGGAGGAACACCAGUGGCGAAGGCGACUUUCUGGUCUGUAACUGACGCUGAUGUGCGAAAGCGUGGGGAUCAAACAGG